ACAUGCAGUCGAGCGGACAGAUGGGAGCUUGCUCCCUGAUGUUAGCGGCGGACGGGUGAGUAACACGUGGGUAACCUGCCUGUAAGACUGGGAUAACUCCGGGAAACCGGGGCUAAUACCGGAUGGUUGUUUGAACCGCAUGGUUCAAACAUAAAAGGUGGCUUCGGCUACCACUUACAGAUGGACCCGCGGCGCAUUAGCUAGUUGGUGAGGUAACGGCUCACCAAGGCAACGAUGCGUAGCCGACCUGAGAGGGUGAUCGGCCACACUGGGACUGAGACACGGCCCAGACUCCUACGGGAGGCAGCAGUAGGGAAUCUUCCGCAAUGGACGAAAGUCUGACGGAGCAACGCCGCGUGAGUGAUGAAGGUUUUCGGAUCGUAAAGCUCUGUUGUUAGGGAAGAACAAGUACCGUUCGAAUAGGGCGGUACCUUGACGGUACCUAACCAGAAAGCCACGGCUAACUACGUGCCAGCAGCCGCGGUAAUACGUAGGUGGCAAGCGUUGUCCGGAAUUAUUGGGCGUAAAGGGCUCGCAGGCGGUUUCUUAAGUCUGAUGUGAAAGCCCCCGGCUCAACCGGGGAGGGUCAUUGGAAACUGGGGAACUUGAGUGCAGAAGAGGAGAGUGGAAUUCCACGUGUAGCGGUGAAAUGCGUAGAGAUGUGGAGGAACACCAGUGGCGAAGGCGACUCUCUGGUCUGUAACUGACGCUGAGGAGCGAAAGCG
rnacentral:rRNA from 1 species